rnacentral:rRNA from 1 species
GACGAACGCUGGUGGCGUGCUUAACACAUGCAAGUCGAGCGGAGCGGCGAACGGGUGAGUAACGCGUGAGUAACUGGCCCCCUCUCUGGGAUAACAGUUGGAAACGGCUGCUAAUACCGGAUAGUGGGGGAUGACUCGCGUCCUAUCAGCUUGUUGGUGGGGUAGUGGCCUACCAAGGCGACGAGGGGUAGCCGGCCUGACAGGGCGUGCGGCCACAUUGGGCUGGGCUACGGCCCUAACUCCUCCGGGAGGCAGCAGUGGGGAAUAUUGCACGAUGGGGGCAACCCUGAUGCAGCAACGCCGCGUGCGGGAUGACGGCCUUCGUGUUGUAAACCGCUUUCAGCCAUGACGCGUUAGUGGCAGAAGAAGCACCGGCUAACUACGUGCCAGCAGCCGCGGUAAUUC